GUUUCCGUAGUGUAGCGGUUAUCACGUUCGCCUCACACGCGAAAGGUCUCCGGUUCGAUCCCGGGCGGAAACA